UGCAGGAUGGCUGAGUGGUCUAAGGCGCUGCGUUCAGGUCGCAGUAUCCUCGGAUGCGUGGGUUCGAAUCUCACUCCUGUCAA